rnacentral:RNase_P_RNA from 1 species
UGUAAGUAUUUAACCGCUAUUGUAUUCAUACAUUAGAGGAAGUUCCAUGCUUGCACAUUCUGCAACGAAUGUAAUGAUUCAGGGUAGUAACACUGCCACACCAAGUUUAGGUGAUGAAUACAAAUAUUCUUUACUCAAUAUCGAAUUUAGGUAAAGAAUAAGAGUAGUAACGGGCAACAGAGACGAAUCAUAUAGUAAUAUAUGGGUGAAACGGGCAACCUCCUGAAGCAAGAAACCUCAAGUUAACGCAAGUUUGGUAGAGGGAGUGGAUACAAGGGAAACAAACUAAGUAUCCAAUGAAGCAAUUCAUAGAUAAAUGGUUAAUUAACACAGAACAUGGGCUAUUCUU